CCUACGGGUGGCUGCAGUAACGAAUCUUCCGCAAUGCACGAAAGUGUGACGGGGCAAUGCCGCGUGUGGGAUGAAGCCCCUCGGGGUGUAAACCACUGUCAGGGUCUAGGAACACAAUGACCAUACCCAAAGGAAGCACCGGCUAACUCUGUGCCAGCAGCCGCGGUAAUACAGAGGGUGCGAGCGUUAAUCGGAAUCACUGGGCUUAAAGGGUCCGUAGGCGGGACUGCAGGCGUCGAGUGAAAUACCACGGCUCAACCGUGGAACUGCUCGGCGAACCGCAGUUCUUGAGGCGAGUAGAGGCGAUCAGAACGAUAGGUGGAGCGGUGAAAUGCGUAGAUAUCUAUCGGAAUGCCGAAGGUGAAGACAGGUCGCUGGGCUCGUCCUGACGCUGAGGGACGAAAGCGUGGGGAGCAAACGGGAUUAGAUACCCUAGUAGUC
rnacentral:rRNA from 1 species